CAGUCGCCACGGUAAAACCGAGGGUGCAAGCGUUAAUCGGAAUUACUGGGCGUAAAGCGCGCGUAGGUGGUUUGUUAAGUUGGAUGUGAAAGCCCCGGGCUCAACCUGGGAACUGCAUCCAAAACUGGCAAGCUAGAGUACGGUAGAGGGUGGUGGAAUUUCCUGUGUAGCUGUGAAAUGCGUAGAUAUAGGAAGGAACACCAGUGGCGAAGGCGACCACCUGGACUGAUACUGACACUGAGGUGCGAAAGCGUGGGGAGCAAACAGGAUUAGAUACCCCCGUAGUCCCUGUCUCUUAUAC
rnacentral:rRNA from 1 species